rnacentral:rRNA from 1 species
GACGAACGCUGGCGGCGUGCUUAACACAUGCAAGUCGAACGGAAAGGCCCUGCUUUUGUGGGUUUCUCGAUUGGCGAACGGGGGAGUAACACGUGAGUAACCUCCCCUUGACUGUGGGAGAACUUCAGGAAACUGGGGCGAAUACCGGAUAUGAGCUCCUGCUGCAUGGUGGGGGUUGGAAAGUUUCGGUUGUGGUGGAUGUACUCGCGGCUUAUCAGCUUGUUGGUGGGGUAGUGGCUGACCGAGCUUUUGAGGGGUAGCGGGACUGAGAGGGUGACCGGCCACACUGGCACUGAGGUAAGGCACCGGCUCCGACGGGAGCGAGAAGGGCGGAAUCUUGAACGAUGGGCGGCAGCCUGGUGAAGAAGGGCCGCGUGUCGUAAGACGCUCUUAGGGUUGUAGAACGAUUUUGCAUGUAACGAAGCGUGAGUGACGGUAAUGGGUACAGAAGGCCCGGCUUACUACGUG